rnacentral:rRNA from 1 species
GACGAACGCUGGCGGCGUGCUUAACACAUGCAAGUCGAGCGGUAAGGCCCUUCGGGGUACACGAGCGGCGAACGGGUGAGUAACACGUGGGCGACCUGCCCCUCACUCUGGGAUAAGCCCGGGAAACUGGGUCUAAUACCGGAUAUGACCUUCCUCUGCAUGGGGGUUGGUGGAAAGUUUUUCGGUGAGGGAUGGGCCCGCGGCCUAUGAGCUUGUUGGUGGGGUGAUGGCCCACCAAGGCGACGACGGGUAGCCGGCCUGAGAGGGCGACCGGCCACACUGGGACUGAGACACGGCCCAGACUCCUACGGGAGGCAGCAGUGGGGAAUAUUGCGCAAUGGGCGAAAGCCUGACGCAGCGACGCCGCGUGGGGGAUGACGGCCUUCGGGUUGUAAACCUCUUUCGCCAGGGACGAAGCGCAAGUGACGGUACCUGGAUAAGAAGCACCGGCCAACUACGUGCCAGCCGCCGCAGUAACAC